GAUGAACGCUGGCGGCGUGCCUAAUACAUGCAAGUCGAGCGAACAGACGAGGAUCUUGCUCCUCUGACGUUAGCGGCGGACGGGUGAGUAACACGUGGCUAACCUACCUAUAAGACUGGGAUAACUUCGGGAAACCGGAGCUCAUACCGGAUAAUAUAUUGAACCGCAUGGUUCAAUAGUGAAAGACGGUUUUGCUGUCACUUAUAGAUGGAUCCGCGCCGUAUUAGCUAGUUGGUGAGGUAACGGCUUACCAAGGCAGCGAUGCGUAACCGACCUGAGAGGGUGAUGGGCCACACUGGAACUGAGACACGGUCCAGACACCGACGGGAGGCAGCGGUAGGGAAGCUUCCGCAAUGGGCGGAAGCCUGACCGAGCAACGCCGCGUGAGUGAUGAAGGUCUGCGGAUCGUAAAACUCUGUUAUUAGGGAAGAACAAAUGUGUAAGUAACUAUGCACGUCGUGACGGUACCUAAUCAGAAAGCCACGGCUAACUACGUG
rnacentral:rRNA from 1 species